rnacentral:rRNA from 1 species
AGUCACUGACAUUAGACUACCCUGUAGUCCCAGCCGUAAACAAUGUGCGUUAGGUGUGUCGGUAACCACGUGUUACUGAUGCGCCGAAGAGAAAUCGUGAAACGCACCACCUGGGAAGUACGGUCGCAAGGCUGAAACUUAAAGGAAUUGGCGGGGGAGCACCACAACAGGUGGAGCCUGCGGUUUAAUUGGAUUCAACGCCGGACAUCUCACCGGAUAAGACAGCUGAAUGAUUGUCAAUCUGAAGGUUUUACAUGACUAGCUG